rnacentral:tRNA from 1 species
AGAACCUUAAGUUAAUUAAACUGGAAGCCUUCAAAGCUUUCUAUGGUGAGUGUGUCUCCAGGUUCUG